AUGUCUUUGAUUCUUUAAAUGCUCUGCUUGAGAUAGGAAGAGAACUCAUAACAGAACACAGUAAAGUCAGGGCACCCAUCUCGUUGCUACUACUUGAAAGACUUCCAUGAGAUAUUGAUGUGCAUCUUUGCCUGACAGUGGAAGAUAAUAUACGUGACAGAUGAAUUGAUGGACCGCAGCAGUAGGGUGAUGUGAAACAGGAACGGCUUGGAAACCACAAGGACCACUGUAUACACUGGUGGAUUUGUACCAUAGCUUAGGACAAUGUGACAGCAAGAUAAGACUUGUCAACAAUAGAUGAUCCCAUAGCAGCUGUAUAUACAGAAAGGAACAAAAAAAGCUUAUUCAGGAUAUAAAAAAACUACAUUUGUGGAUAGGAAAAAUAAUAUACCGAGCCACAUAACAAUUCUGUGUACUUGUAUAUAUAACCUGGAUUCUCCUCUUGAGUAAAAAAAAAUGGGAAAUACUCAAUCAUGAGGUGAUCCUUCAAAAAAAGAACUUACCUUCAUACCACUGAUACCAGGAAGAUUGUUGGGUAAUAAUCUGUGCAACAGAAAUAUAGUAAACAUACCCCGGGUGUAAUGUUAGGCAUGCAGACCAGGAAGGUGGAGUAAAAUUCCCAGGGAUUCACUUUACAGCGCUGAUAGCUAUAGAGUUUAUUUCACACAGUGGAAAAGGGACAGAGGCAAUGGAAAUGUUGUACAACAUCUACUACCAUUGCUGGUGGCAUAUACUUGUAGUUCUAUGUAUAAUACUUACAUUGUGGGAAUCGGGAUCAUCCCAGUAUACUCUUAUAAAACCAGACAACACAGUAGUAUUCAAAAGUGAAAAUUACAACAGUAAUUGUAGUUAUAAGGGAUACUACCGCUACUUGGAGAUAUUAAAUGCUUCUGGAUCUCCUGCUCUAUUUGUUGGUGCCAGGGAUUAUGUAUUCAAACUGAACCUAGAAAAUAUAAGUGACAGUGCAUCAUCAAAUUCUAUACACCCAGAAAAUUAUGAAACUUGCGACACAAACAAUCAACAGGGAAGCACAAGCAGCAAGUGUUUCCAAUGUGGAAAUCAUGUGAGAGUGAUUGUCUGGCAGAAAGAUGACAGCGAGUUCUAUAUUUGUGGAACAGGAGCCAAGAAGCCACAGGAUUUCAUUCUAUUUGCUAACCUGACUGUAAGAAAAAAUGGAACUUCCAGCAGUGGAGUGGCCAAAUGUCCAUUUGAUCCUGAUGAUAAUGCUACAGCAGUCUGGGUUGAGAAAGGCAACCCUGGCAAUGUAUCAGUCUUGUAUUCUGGUACAGUGGCAGAUGCUGUAAAGUCCGACCCUGUAAUCUACAGACCUGAAAUACGCAAAGAUGGAAAUAUUGAGAGCAAACUAGUGAGAACUGUGCGCUAUGAUUCCAAGUGGCUUAAUGAACCACAUUUUGUUGCCUCUUUUGACAUCAGUACAGAUGAUGAGGAGUACGUGUAUUUCUUUUUCCGAGAGACAGCGGCAGAGUUUGUGAACUGUGGGAAGGCAGUGUAUGCCAGAGUGGCCCGAGUAUGCAAGGAUGACAAAGGAGGGCGCAAUGCAUUAAAAGACAACUGGACCACCUAUCUCAAGGCAAGACUCAACUGCUCACUGCCUGGAGAGUUUCCAUUUUAUUUUAAUGAGCUGCAGGAUGUUGUUAGAGUGAACAAUGCAUUUUAUGCUACUUUUACAACAAAUCUCAAUGGGUUUUAUGGUUCAGCAGUGUGCACUUUUGACUUGUCAACCAUAGAAGAUGUAUUCAACAAUGGCAAGUUCAAGGAACAAAAGGAUGCCACAUCCAACUGGCUUCCAGUUCAAGAAAGUAAUGUGCCACAGCCAAGACCAGGAAAGUGCUCUAACAACUCGCUGGGCCUGGAUGAUACCAUCAUCAACUUCAUCUAUUCCCGCCCCCUUAUGGACCAAGCUAUUCCAAUGAGAGAGGGGAGACCAUUGUACUACAGAAGUGGAGUCAUCUUCAGAAAAAUUGCUGUAGAAAACAGUUUGGUGGCUGGACAAAGGGUGCUGUAUCUGGGCACAAAUAAUGCUAAAAUCUACAAAUUAGCCAGCACAGAGUCUUGUAGUCAGGUCAAUGAGGAGUGCACCAGCCUUAGCUCAGUUAUAGAGCCUUUACAAGAUGAUACCAUUUUAUGGAGCAUGAAAUAUUUUAAGCAUUCCAGUGGUAUGUCCAUGCUAUACCUGGGCACAGAUGACCAGGUGACCCAGGUGCCAGUUGAUGACCAGUGCAACCACUACAAGACCUGUGGUAGCUGUACACAUGACCCUCACUGUAACUGGGACGUCAGUAGUAAAAGCUGCACUGCUGACACAUCUAGCUCAAAGGCCACGUGCAGUGCCAUCAUACAUACAGAAACAGAGUCUGGAGCCGCUGUAGUUUUACAAGGAUCCACUAAUUAUAAAAAUUGGACACAUAAUGGCACAUUAAUGGAGUGUCAGCCAGUCAAUAAAACCUGUGUCAUGACGGCCACAGGUGAUCUGGUACUGUUGAAGCCUCGCAGUCCAAAGUCUGAGGGCGAAUACACAUGUAACCUAUAUGGAGGGGACAAGAUUACAUAUAACCUCACAGUGCUGAGUCCCCAAGAUGCAGCUCUAAAAAGAUACGAAGAAUGGUGUGAUAAGUUUGAUGAAUACAAGAACCUUGUGGAAGAAUAUAAGGAAAAUGCAUGCAAUGCAGGCUGUUUACGAAAUUUCACAUGUAGCUAGCCUACAUCCUGGCAGAUGGGAGAGCAAAUACAAGUACAGGGUCUGCCAUGUGUGUGUUUGGAUGCUGAGGCACAAGAAAGUAUGCUGUGUUGCAGCCUUCAGAUUGAAGCACACAGUGGAAGGAAUAACCUACCAGACUUAGUUUAGUUCAAAAGCAAAUUCCAAUUCUGAAUAAGCAUUAUCAGAAGUUGAAAUGACAGGCAAAAUGCUCCUGACAUUUUGAUUUUGGAAACCAUCGUUUUGUGAGAUUGAUCGUAGACAUCAUUUUGAUGUUGUGCUGUGGAUCUCCAGAAGAGACGGUAAAUUACUGACGGCAAGAAAGAUGGUUUCGUCUAGACAGAUUGAGAGAUUCAGACGGGCAGACAGUAUCUCUUCAGUUGCCAAUCAAUGCGAUGGCAAACCAUUUUCAGCCUUGUUUUUCUCUUAUGUUCUUAUCUGUGAUACUUGACAGCUGAGUCGGCUGAAUGAAGACAUGGAACAAAACAAUAAAAGGAAAAAAAACUUGAUGAACAUGAGUAAUGCAGCUGAGCUGCAGCAGAAUUUUCUUUCCCCAUUUUAUCAUAGUGGAUGUCUAGAUGCAGUGCACCUCAAGCAGUGGAAUCACUGGCAGGGCUUGGUAACCUUAAUCUAGCACCACACUUUACUAUGGAUUUGUUUGAGCCACAGCUUCCCAUCCUCUCUAUACCAGCAGAAGUAUUGCUGGAGCCAAUAUGUUCAUAAUAGACAAGGAGGUCCCUUGCACCAGUAGACAUUUUAGAAUAGGACAGACAGUAGUCUCUUUUUUUAUUGUAUUUAGAAAUCUGGCAGAAUUUUAUUGAAUGCAAAGUAUGCAUAUAUCAGUAAUUAUUUUAGUUGCAUUUUCAUUGUGCAGUAAUUCCAUGUUUGACUGAAUUUAUAUUGUUAAUGUCUCAUAAUCUUUCAAAAAAAAAAUGCUGUCCUAUUAGAAUUAAUUAGAACAACUUACAUGUUUAAUAAUGUAAAUUUACAAUCUUGAUAGUAUGCAAACUUAGAUGAUAUUAUUCUAGACACAAAACUUACUUCAAUCAAAAACAGGAUUAUCUAAAAUACACAUUUCCACCAUGACAUUGCUUUCACCUGCUGUAUACAUGACAUAAGAAAUUCUUGAUUUUAUUUACAAAAAGGAGCUGUCCUCUUUUUAUAUAAGUGUGUAUAAUUUACAUAAAAAUGAGAUGUCUAAUUUGGUUUAAAAUUACAGGUAAUUGACUGAAUUUACAUCCUAUCUGUAAUUAUAUUUGAUUUGUCAUUCUGCAAUAUUGUAGGUUACGUAGCAAAAGAGGGACCAAACUUGCACUUACCACACCACGCCAUGGCACUGGCAGUAAAACAGUAUUAAUGUGGGGCAGGUUACAUGAUAGGAAGAAAAUAUUAGUAAUAGGUUUUAUAAGCAUCUGUUACAAAUUCAUAGCACUAAUGGAAGUAGUCCCUGUAGAUAGUGUAUUAAUUGUUUAUAUUCGGUAAUUGCAUUUGUACAUGAUCAGGUUAAUUUUGUUAAUUCAUUUGCGUAAUUUAUUAACAGUAUAUGUAUAUAUAUAUAUAUAAAAUAAAUUCUUUUUUAAUGUUCAGUUAUUUCUCUUUUUUGACCUUUUCUCAUCCUAUGUGGAAAUAAAACUAAGCACUAGUGACAUAUUGUUUUCAAAAUAGUAAUUAUAAAUAUGUACAGUAGAGAUGUAAGUUAUGCAAAAAUAGUAAUUAUAAAAAUAUACCUAAAACUGCCCUAUCACAACAUAUUCUUCACAGCUACCAUCCAAGAUAGCUUGUUUGGCAUCAUGCUGAGUAUAUGUAUAUAACACAUCUUAUGAACUAAAAAUGCAUUUUGAUGAUAUGCAAGAUUCAAAAUAUAAUUCUGCAAAAUAAAAUAUUCAAAUGUUUCCCAGCAGCAACUUCAAUUCUAGGAAAUGAAAGUGUGUUUCCAUAAGUGAACGCAGCAAACCA
rnacentral:misc_RNA from 1 species